CAACUUUAAAAGGGGGCCAUUAUCGUCUGAUGCAAGAGCAGUAGGACGGAUUUCGAGCCCAGAGCCUUUCUGCCUUCUUCGCUACAGCCCCUUGGCGGAUGACUGCCUUGUUUGCCACUGUGCUGGGCUCUGGGAGACAGUGCUCCCUACCCCCGUGGAGGUUAUGCUGAAGAGACCAACACCUCACAAAGCCAAUGUGCAUGAGAACCACCCAAGUCUCUGGUGAAAAUGCACAUCUGAUGGUGAAAAUCUACCUGAGCUCCACAAACUCUGGUGAUGCCCUAGUGCCUGUCCCCCGGGCCUCGCUUUGAGUAGCAAAGGCUAGAGGGUGAUACAGCAUGUUUGUGCUUUAUUCAUCUGUGAAGAUUCCAGAAGAGAAAUAGGCAGUGUUAUGGCUCAACAAGUAUCAGUUGAACAGUGGAAAUCAGUCGGUAUCGC